rnacentral:sRNA from 1 species
GUUCUUGAGCCGUUACAACCAGAAGCCACAGUAGCAACCCUUCCUAGGAUCCAAGAGGAUGCAAUUUCUUGCAAGAACACCAGUGAAGCAUUGCAGAUUGCUCUACAAACAUCCACAAUUUUUCCUUCAAUGGCCAAUCCUGGACAGACAUUGAAGACGGUAGAAGCGGUUUCAGUGGUUGGAUUACCAUUGAAUAGAGUAGAAGUGUGUAUGGGAGGGAAGUGUAAGAGAUCAGGAGGAGCUUUGUUGUUGGAUGAGUUUCAAAGGGCGAUGACGGGUUUCGAAGGAUCUGCUGUGGCUUGCAAGUGCAUGGGGAAGUGUCGUGAUGGCCCAAACG